rnacentral:rRNA from 1 species
GGGUUGUGAGGUUAAGCGACUAAGCGUACACGGUGGAUGCCCUGGCAGUCAGAGGCGAUGAAGGACGUGCUAAUCUGCGAUAAGCGCCGGUAAGGUGAUAUGAACCGUUAUAACCGACGAUUUCCGAAUGGGGAAACCCAGUGUGACUCGUCACACUAUCAUUAACUGAAUCCAUAGGUUAAUGAGGCGAACCGGGGGAACUGAAACAUCUAAGUACCCCGAGGAAAAGAAAUCAACCGAGAUUCCCCCAGUAGCGGCGAGCGAACGGGGAGGAGCCCAGAGCCUGAAUCAGCAUGUGUGUUAGUGGAAGCGUCUGGAAAGGCGCGCGAUACAGGGUGACAGCCCCGUACACAAAAGCGCAUGUGCUGUGAGCUCGAUGAGUAGGGCGGGACACGUGGUAUCCUGUCUGAAUAUGGGGGGACCAUCCUCCAAGGCUAAAUACUCCUGACUGACCGAUAGUGAACCAGUACCGUGAGGGAAAGGCGAAAAGAACCCCGGCGAGGGGAGUGAAAAAGAACCUGAAACCGUGUACGUACAAGCAGUGGGAGCACCUUCGGGUGUGACUGCGUACCUUUUGUAUAAUGGGUCAGCGACUUAUAUUCUGUAGCAAGGUUAACCGAAUAGGGGAGCCGUAGGGAAACCGAGUCUUAACCGGGCGUUAAGUUGCAGGGUAUAGACCCGAAACCCGGUGAUCUAGCCAUGGGCAGGUUGAAGGUUGGGUAACACUAACUGGAGGACCGAACCGACUAAUGUUGAAAAAUUAGCGGAUGACCUGUGGCUGGGGGUGAAAGGCCAAUCAAACCGGGAGAUAGCUGGUUCUCCCCGAAAGCUAUUUAGGUAGCGCCUCGUGAAUUCAUCUCCGGGGGUAGAGCACUGUUUCGGCUAGGGGGCCAUCCCGGCUUACCAACCCGAUGCAAACUGCGAAUACCGGAGAAUGUUAUCACGGGAGACACACGGCGGGUGCUAACGUCCGUCGUGAAGAGGGAAACAACCCAGACCGCCAGCUAAGGUCCCAAAGUCAUGGUUAAGUGGGAAACGAUGUGGGAAGGCUCAGACAGCCAGGAUGUUGGCUUAGAA